rnacentral:rRNA from 1 species
CAUGUAGGCGGUGUUAAAAGUCAAAUGUGAAAUCCCUCGGCUUAACUGAGGACCCGCAUUUGAAACUUUAGCACUUGAAUCUAGGUGAGGUGAAUGGAAUUCCAGGUGUAGGGGUGAAAUCUGUAGAUAUCUGGAAGAACACCAGUGGCGAAGGCGAUUCACUAACCUGGUAUUGACGCUGAGAUGCGAAAGCGUGGGGAGCGAACA